rnacentral:rRNA from 1 species
AGCGAACGCUGGCGGCAGGCUUAACACAUGCAAGUCGAGCGGGCGUAGCAAUACGUCAGCGGCAGACGGGUGAGUAACGCGUGGGAACGUACCUUUUGGUUCGGAACAACUGAGGGAAACUUCAGCUAAUACCGGAUAAGCCCUUACGGGGAAAGAUUUAUCGCCGAAAGAUCGGCCCGCGUCUGAUUAGCUAGUUGGUGAGGUAACGGCUCACCAAGGCGACGAUCAGUAGCUGGUCUGAGAGGAUGAUCAGCCACAUUGGGACUGAGACACGGCCCAAACUCCUACGGGAGGCAGCAGUGGGGAAUAUUGGACAAUGGGCGAAAGCCUGAUCCAGCCAUGCCGCGUGAGUGAUGAAGGCCCUAGGGUUGUAAGCUCUUUGUGCGGGAAGAUAAUGACGGUACGCAAGAUAAAGCCCGGCUAACUUCGUGCCAGCAG